UUUCAAACUUGUGCCUUUGAA
ensembl:piRNA 21ur-4450 ncRNA